GAUGAACGCUGGCGGCGUGCCUAAUACAUGCAAGUCGAGCGAACAGACGAGGAGCUUGCUCCUUUGACGUUAGCGGCGGACGGGUGAGUAACACGUGGAUAACCUACCUAUAAGACUGGGAUCACUUCGGGAAACCGGAGCUAAUACCGGAUAACAUGUUGCACCGCAUGGUUCAACAGUGAAAGACGGUCUUGGUGUCACUUAUAGAUGGAUCCGCGCCGUAUUAGCUAGUUGGUAAGGUAACGGCUUACCAAGGCAACGAUGCGUAUACGACCUGAGAGGGUGAUCGGCCACAUGGGAACGGAGACACGGUCCAGACGCCUGCGGGAGGCAGCAGUAGGGAAUCUUCCGCAAUGGUCGAAAGCCUGACGGAGCAACGCCGAGUGAGUGAAGAAGGUGUUCGGAUCGUAAAACUCUGUUAUUAGGGAAGAACAAAUGUGUAAGUAACUAUGCACGUCUUGACGGUACCUAAUCAGAAAGCCACGGCUAACUACGUG
rnacentral:rRNA from 1 species